AAGAAAAGAAAAAAAUUGUUGAUAAGGCUCAAAGAUAACCUCUAUUAAUAGACUUUCCUAUUUACAGGAACACUCUUGGGAUUACAAGAGGAAGAAACUAAACUUGGACCCUGACCUUAAUUCUGACCUCGUGAUUCUUCAUAGAUAUUCUAUGACUCUCUUUUUAUUAUAAAGAUUUCUUGGUAAUGUUCCCAGAA